UACGGGGGGGGCAAGCGUUGUUCGGAAUUACUGGGCGUAAAGGGCUCGUAGGCGGCCAACUAAGUCAGACGUGAAAUCCCUCGGCUUAACUGAGGACGUGCGGAAGAAACUGCAAGGCUCGAGUCCAGGAGAGGGGGGUGAAUUCCCAGUGUAGCGGUGAAAUGCGUAGAUAUUGGGAGGAACACCGGUGGCGAAGGCGGCCCCCUGGACCGGAACUGACGCUGAGGCGCGAAAGCGUGGGUAGCAAACGGG
rnacentral:rRNA from 1 species